GACGAACGCUGGCGGCGUGCUUAACACAUGCGAGUCGAACGGAAAGGCCCUGCUUUUGUGGGGUGCUCGAGUGGCGAACGGGUGAGUAACACGUGAGUAACCUGCCCUUGACUUUGGGAUAACUUCAGGAAACUGGGGCUAAUACCGGAUAGGAGCUCCUGCUGCAUGGUGGGGGUUGGAAAGUUUCGGCGGUUGGGGAUGGACUCGCGGCUUAUCAGCUUGUUGGUGGGGUAGUGGCUUACCAAGGCUUUGACGGGUAGCCGGCCUGAGAGGGUGACCGGCCACAUUGGGACUGAGAUACGGCCCAGACUCCUACGCGAGGCAGCAGUGGGGAAUAUUGCACAAUGGGCGGAAGCCUGAUGCAGCAACGCCGCGUGCGGGAUGACGGCCUUCGGGUUGUAAACCGCUUUCGCCUGUGACGAAGCGUGAGUGACGGUAAUGGGUAAAGAAGCACCGGCUAACUACGUG
rnacentral:rRNA from 1 species